GCCGCCGUAACUACGCGUAAACGUUCGCGUUUUUCGCGGGCGACGACGACGACGAGGUGUGUGGUGUGCGGUUUUUGUGUGUGUGUGUGUGUGUGUGUGUGUGUGUGUGUGUGUGUAUGUGCGUUUGCGUGUGUGCGUGUAACGCGAUAAGAUUUCGACUUUUGCGAAACGGCGUCGGUGCGUCCGGCGUGUCGUGUGCGCGCGCGUUCCGUGCGGCGCGCUUACCCGACGACGGAAUAACGGGCGAAAAAACGAAACGGCGCGGCGGCGAUGGCGGCAAACACCGUACCGACCGGUCGAAAGGUUGCUCG